AUGCUCAAAAUUCUCCAAGCCAGGCUUCAGCAAUAUGUGAACCGUGAACUCCCUGAUGUUCAAGCUGAUUUUAGAAAAGGCAGAGGAACCAGAGAUCAAAUUGCCAACAUCUACUGGAUCAUGGAAAAAGCAAGAGAGUUCCAGAAAACCAUCUAUUUCUGCUUUAUUGACUAUGCCAAAGCCUUUGACUGUGUGGAUCACAAUAAACUGUGGAAAAUCCUGCAAGAGAUGGGAAUACCAGACCACCUGACCUGCCUCUUGAGAAAUCUGUAUGCAGGUCAGGAAGCAGCAGUUAGAACUGGACAUGGAACAACAGACUGGUUCCAAAUAGGAAAAGGAGUACGUCAAGGCUGUAUAUUGUCACCCUGCUUAUUUAACUUAUACACAGAGUACAUCAUGAGAAACGCUGGACUGGAAGAAGCACAAGCUGGAAUCAAGAUUGCCGGGAGAAAUAUCAAUAACCUCAGAUAUGCAGAUGAUACCACCCUUAUGGCAGAAAGUGAAGAGGAGCUAAAAAGCCUCUUGAUGAAAGUGAAAGAGGAUAGUGAAAAAGUUGGCUUAAAACUCAACAUUCAGAAAACGAAGAUCAUGGCAUCUGGUCACAUCACUUCAUGGGAAAUAGAUGGGGAAACAGUAGAAACAGUGUCAGACUUUAUUUUUGGGGGCUCCAAAAUCACUGCAGAUGGUGACUGCAACCAUGAAAUUAAAAGACGUUUACUCCUUGGAAGAAAAGUUAUGACCAAUCUAGAUAGUAUAUUCAAAAGCAGAAACAUUACUUUGCCUACUAAGGUCCGUCUAGUCAAGGCUAUGGUUUUUCCUGUGGUCAUGUAUGGAUGUGAGAGUUGGACUGUGAAGAAGGCUGAGAGCCGAAGAAUUGAUGCGUUUGAACUGUGGUGUUGGAGAAGACUCUUGAGAGUCCCCUGGACUACAAGGAGAUCCAACCAGUCCAUUCUGAAGGAGAUCAGUCCUGGGAUUUCUUUGGAAGGAAUAAUGCUAAAGCUGAAACUCCAGUACUUUGGCCACCUCACGCGAAGAGCUGACUCAUUGGAAAAGACUCAGAUGCUGGGAGGGAUUGAGGGCAGGAGCAGAAAGGGACGACCCAGGAUGAGAUGGCAGAUGGCAUCACGGACUCAAUGGACGUGA
rnacentral:lncRNA from 1 species